UCUUGCAAUAACCAUGUAAGCAGCAAGCAGGGCAGAGUUGUACAUACCGCCACGCUGACUCAGAAGGACGGGUUCCACAUUCCUUAAUUAGCAGCAUCAGAAGAGCUCCACUUCCGGCAUGGAGUUCCCAUUUCAUCCUCCACCCAGCGGGCUCCACACACCCCACAGACCCAGGGACACGCUGUGUAUCUUGAGAUCCCAGGCAGGAUGCAUGAACACUUCACCAACUUGAAAACACAGCUUUCUCAGUUAUUCAUAAAGAUUCACAAUAAAGGGCCA